rnacentral:rRNA from 1 species
GACGAACGCUGGCGGCGUGCUUAACACAUGCAAGUCGAACGGAAAGGCCCUGCUUUUGUGGGGUGCUCGAGUGGCGAACGGGUGAGUAACACGUGAGUAACCUGCCCUUGACUUUGGGAUAACUUCAGGAAACUGGGGCUAAUACCGGAUAGGAGCUCCUGCUGCAUGGUGGGGGUUGGAAAGUUUCGGCGGUUGGGGUUGGACUCGCGGCGUAUCAGCUUGUUGGGUGGGUAGUGUAUUACCAAGGCUUUGAGGGGUAGCAGGGCUGGGAGGGUGACAGGAUCAGCCAGGAUGGAGAUAAGGCCCAGACUCCAAUGCUACGGAGGGGUGGGGAAGAGUGCAUUAUGGGCUGAAGCCUGAUGCAGUAACGCAGCGUGGGGGAUGAGGGCCUUCGCGUUGGAUUCCGAAGUUGCUUUAGACGAAGUGUGAGUGACGGUAACGGGUAAAGAAGCACCGGCUAACUACGUG